UACACGUCAGUCUUAACUUUACUUCGUUGUGCAAAAUAAAAAAAGAAUUGCCAUUCACUUUAAUAGCUCGAACGCAGUCAAUCUGUUAAAUUUAUAACCGGAGCAUUUGCCCCUGCGUUCGAAGUGUAUACUACUCGUCAUUGCUCGAUUUUUGAAUUCAAAUUCCUCGCGAGGGAUUUUUAAAAUCAAAUCGCGCAGUUAACUGGUGAUUAAAAGUGAAAAGAAAGGACAACGCGUUGAACUUCGACGUUUGGCAUUUUUCUCAACCAGUUGCGCCGGCAACUGGUUUGCGGACCAUAACGAGUGACCAAAACCGUAUACAAUAUAUUCGUCGCUUUCUUCUUGAACUCGUCGGGCAUGAUAUCAUACUGGCUGGAAUUUAUUGAAAAGUGACAAAUUUAUUAAAAGUAACGAGUGCAACGAAGGAAAAAGGAUUUCUGCAACUUUCUACAACGAAAUUCAUUCUCUCCCCCUCCCUCGCGAAAAGAAAGGAAAUGUUUGAACAUGUUUGAAGGCCACGAGUGCAACGAAGGAAAAAGAAUUUCUGCAACAAUACGACGAAAUUCAUUCUCUUCUUUUUACAAAAAGAAAAAAAA